GAUGAACGCUGGCGGCGUGCCUAACACAUGCAAGUCGAACGGAAAGGCCCUGCUCUUGCGGGGUGCUCGAGUGGCGAACGGGUGAGUAACACGUGAGUAUCCCGCCCCUGACUUUGGGAUAACUUCAGGAAACUGGGGCUAAUAUCGGAUAGGAUAUCCUGCUGCAUGGGGGGGGUUGGAAAGUUUCGGCGGUUGGGGAUGGACUCGCGGGUUAUCGGCUUGUUGGUGGGGUAGUUGCUUACCAAGGGUUUGACGGGUAGCCGGCCUGAGAGGGUGACCGGCCACAUUGGGACUACGGUACGGACCAGACUCCUACGGGCCGCAGCAGUCGGGAAUAUUGCACAGUGGGCGGACGCCUGAUGCAGCAGCGCCGCGUGCGGGAUGACGGCCUUCGAGUUGUAAACCGCUUUCGCCUGUGACGAGGCGUGAGUGACGGUAAUGGGUAAAAAAGCAACGGCUAACUACGUG
rnacentral:rRNA from 1 species